rnacentral:rRNA from 1 species
CAGUAGCCGCGGUAAUACGGAGGAUCCGAGCGUUAUCCGGAAUUAUUGGGUUUAAAGGGUGCGUAGGCGGAUAGAUAAGUCAGUGGUGAAAGACGGUGGCUCAACCAUCGCAGUGCCGUUGAUACUGUUUAUCUUGAAUAUGGAUGAGGUAGGCGGAAUGUGGCAAGUAGCGGUGAAAUGCAUAGAUAUGCCACAGAACACCGAUUGCGAAGGCAGCUUACCAAGGCAAAAUUGACGCUGAGGCACGAAAGCGUGGGGAUCGAACAGGAUUAGAUACCCAGUAGUCCCUGUCUCUUAUACA